AGCUUCCCUGGGGAGGACUCCCUCUGUAUCUGUCCUGGAGUUUGAAAUAGAGAAGGUAUGCAGUACAAAUAAAUAUUGCAGGGGGAGGUAUCAAUAUCUCUCUGUGAGCUAUCAACUGCCAUUCGAUGAAGGUCAUAAAGUCAUUAGUAUAGUCCCUUGGUGGUUUGCUUUCCUUUUCAAUAAUGCUUUUCGUCUGUAACUUUCUCACCCGUCGUUGUUAAUACCUCGCCGGACUAAUAUUUGUAUAGGAGAUAGUUGUUGCACCUUCACACCUCCCACACAUUUUCCGGGACUGCUCGGCGUAGUGCUAACCUUUUAGUGAAUAACUUUAUGCCUACAGUGUAGGGGAAGAAAAAAAAGGCAAGGGUUCGUGGAAAAAAAGAGACUAGGGAAUCUUGAAUAUUUCUAUUUGAUAAGUUUGUGGAAUCUGAUGUUUAAUUGAUUGGAUGGAAUAAAGCUAUAGCUUUAUCAUAAUUGUGCUGAAAUCGUCCUUUUCUCCUGCUGCUUCGGAAGUUGAUGGUUGCUUAGGAGUUCAGAUGUCCAUUUGCAACUUGCAAACGCUAACUACCAACGGUGACUGCAGGGUCUUGAGAAACGUGAAAGGAGCUCCAUUGCUGAUAUCAGAUUGCAGCUUUUUUCUUCACCCUGCUUGUCAUUACAUGCUGAAUGGAAUAUUGGGGCCUGACUGAUUGAUCACCGAAAGUCAGCUAAAUUUUUGUAGAUCUGUGGGAGGGUAAGUUAUGCGUCACUCUUGACUUGCUGUUUAAAUUAAACACAAUGUUCUUUCCAUUAUUGGUGGCGUGGGAGUACUGUUUAAGAAGCCCAGGUGACUGACGUUGUGCCAAUAUGCACAUGAUUUAGCUGUUCGCCUCUGAUUGGCUCUCACCAGUGCUUACCUUCCCAACUGUUGGAUAUUUCACCAAACAAGCACGUCAAUUUUUUUCCUUUUCUUUUUAUUCGGGUCAUCCUUCACGUUAUUCGUCGGAAAAGGUAAAGCCUAUCCGUUCCCGGGAACGCCUAAAGUUUUAGCUUUUGUCAUCUUUGCCGCAAACUCUGAACUGAUAAUGAUUCCAUGCUUGAUAUGUGAACCACGACCUACCUCUAAAUGACCCUUGCUCUCGCAAAGACGGCCUUGCGUUGCACGGUGGCCAAAGGUGCAGUUACUUCCAUGAAUCUAUCACUGAAACUGCUAAUGAACUCGCAGGACAUUUUUGCUGGACCAGCCUGCCAUAAAUCAUGUAGGCAUGCUAUGAACAUAACCGCAGUGGGGUUAGUUUCUGCUUGCUCAUUAGAUUUUCUAAGGUGAGGUGCUCCUUUCACGAGUUCAUCACUGCAAGACUGGCUCACUGGCA
rnacentral:lncRNA from 1 species